CUCGGAAUCCUCAAUGGCAUGGCGCACUCGUCGCCGUUGAAGAAGACCUUGGACGGGAAGCCGUCCCCGGCGAUGAUGUCGAUGCCGGGGGUCUUCUUCUUGGUGAAGGAGAAGACGGACUGCUGCUUCCCGGGCACCGGGUAAUCUACGCCGCUCAUGUUCCUCUCCCCGAGCAGGAAGUUGAGGCCCUGGGCGCCCCUGACGAAGAUGGUGCUGUUCCCGACGCCCGUGGCGUUGAAGGAGUAGGCCUGUUCGAAGCCGUCGUACGCCUUGUCCAUGACGAUGGCCGUGAACCAGUCCGGCAUGUCCGUGCCGUCCCAGUUGAAGAGCGUGAGGCGCGCGCUCCAUCCUCCGGUGAAGUCGGUG
rnacentral:misc_RNA from 1 species